ACCGAGAAAUUAGGUUCAAUAAUGGCUGGAUGAUUAAGAUCGGAAGGGGACUUGAUUACUUUAAGAAACCACAGGGUCGUUUUUCCCUUGGAUAUUGUGACUUUGAUUUAAGGCCAUGUCUUGAAACAACAGUGGACAUUUUUCACAACAAGCACACACAAAAAAUAUGAUGGUCAGUAGCCUAAUUCAUAUCAUUUGUACUUUAAAUGCUAUCUUGCUCCAUUCUCUGUUGCUGUGACGGGAUACCGCACGCAGGCUAACAUGAAGAGUAGCAGUUGACUUUGCUCACGGCUCGGGAGGCUGGGAAGUCUAGAGCAGUGUUGGCAUCUGGUGCAGGUCUUCUUUCUACACGAUAGACAGCUUCAUGAGAGACAGCAAGCUCGCCAGAAAGAACUCGCUUUAUAAGACUCGCUUGUGGGAUGAACAGCCAGUCCUGCUUCAAAGUUGGACCUCCUAACACGGCUAUGUUGAGG